GCUCACUUCAGCAGCACAUACUAAAAUUGGAAUGAUACAGAGAAGAGUAGCAUGGCCCCUGCACAAGAAUGACACGCAAAUUCAUGAAGCAUUCUAUUUAAAA